CGAAAGCUCGCGGUUGCUCCGAAGCGGCGCGCGCGUCGGCGGUCCUCGCUGGCUCCGUUUACCUGAGGGACCCGUGGCCGCCCCCGGCCGGCGCUACAGCCCCCUUGGAGCCCGGCCCCGAGAUGUGAGUUCAUUGUUGGUGUACGGGAACACAGAUUUUUGUAUAUUGAUUUUGUAUCCUGCAACGUCACUGAACUCAUCAAAGAUUUUGAGAGGAAAUUAAUUUCUUUCAUUAAAAAAUACUUCUCAGAUAUUUCAAUCAGAGGAAGAAAUAGCUCUUCUCCUAAGAUGGAAUCUGUUGUUUGGGAAUGUGGUUGAUCAACUUGAUAUGUUGGCCAAAUGUGCCCUAUGUAAUAAAAUGAAAAGAAGAGACAAGAUGAUGUCAUUUUCCCAUAUUGUGAAACCAAAAACAAAUGCCUUUUGUGAGAUCAAGCUAACAAACCUCUGACGGUGCAGAGUAUUUAACUGUUUGAAGAACUUAACAGUAAGAUAUAGAAGAAAAACUUUCAAGCUGAGACCUGCAGGUGUAUAAAGAUCUAAAAUACAUAUUGAGUAGGCCUCAUCAUCCGAAUCUCAUUCAGAUCCAGGAAGGAUGGCUAUGAGUUGGAUUGUCUUCUACGUUUGGCCCUUGACUAUAUUUGUGGGGCAUAUAGGUGGGCACAGUUUGUUUUCUUGCGAACCUAUUACCUUGAGGAUGUGCCAAGAUUUGCCUUAUAAUACUACCUUCAUGCCUAAUCUUCUGAAUCACUAUGACCAACAGACAGCUGCUUUAGCAAUGGAGCCAUUCCACCCAAUGGUGAAUCUGGAUUGUUCUCGGGAUUUUCGGCCAUUUCUUUGUGCACUCUAUGCUCCUAUUUGUAUGGAAUAUGGACGUGUCACACUUCCCUGUCGUAGGCUGUGUCAACGGGCUUACAGUGAGUGUUCGGAGCUCAUGGAGAUGUUUGGGGUUCCUUGGCCUGAAGAUAUGGAAUGCAGUAGGUUCCCAGAUUGUGAUGAGCCAUAUCCUCGACUUGUGGAUCUGAAUUUAGCUGGUGAUCCUACUGAAGGAGCUCCAGUGGCAGUGCAGAGGGACUAUGGUUUUUGGUGUCCUCGAGAAUUGAAAAUUGAUCCUGAUCUUGGUUAUUCUUUUUUACACGUGCGUGAUUGUUCACCUCCUUGUCCAAAUAUGUACUUUAGGAGAGAAGAACUUUCAUUUGCUCGAUACUUCAUAGGAUUGAUUUCAAUCAUUUGCCUCUCUGCCACGUUGUUUACUUUUUUAACUUUUUUGAUUGAUGUCACAAGAUUCCGUUAUCCUGAAAGACCUAUUAUAUUUUAUGCAGUCUGCUACAUGAUGGUAUCAUUAAUUUUCUUCAUUGGGUUUUUGCUUGAGGACCGAGUAGCCUGCAAUGCAUCUAGCCCUUCACAGUAUAAGGCUUCCACAGUGACACAAGGAUCUCAUAAUAAAGCCUGUACCAUGCUUUUUAUGGUACUCUAUUUUUUUACUAUGGCUGGCAGUGUUUGGUGGGUAAUUCUUACCAUCACAUGGUUCUUGGCAGCUGUGCCAAAGUGGGGUAGUGAAGCUAUUGAGAAGAAAGCAUUGCUAUUUCAUGCCAGUGCAUGGGGCAUCCCCGGAACUCUAACUAUCAUCCUUUUAGCGAUGAAUAAAAUUGAAGGUGACAAUAUCAGUGGCGUGUGUUUUGUUGGCCUCUACGAUGUUGAUGCAUUGAGAUAUUUUGUUCUUGCUCCCCUCUGCCUGUAUGUGGUAGUUGGAGUUUCUCUCCUCUUAGCUGGCAUUAUAUCCUUAAACAGAGUUCGAAUUGAAAUUCCAUUAGAAAAGGAGAACCAAGAUAAAUUGGUGAAGUUUAUGAUCCGGAUUGGUGUUUUCAGCAUUCUCUAUCUCGUACCACUCUUGGUUGUAAUUGGAUGCUACUUUUAUGAGCAAGCUUACCGUGGCAUCUGGGAAACAACAUGGAUACAAGAACGCUGCAGAGAAUAUCACAUUCCAUGUCCAUAUCAGGUUACUCAAAUGAGUCGUCCAGACCUGAUUCUCUUUCUGAUGAAAUACCUGAUGGCUCUCAUAGUUGGUAUUCCCUCCAUUUUUUGGGUUGGAAGCAAAAAGACAUGCUUUGAAUGGGCCAGUUUUUUUCAUGGUCGUAGGAAAAAAGAGAUAGUGAAUGAGAGCCGACAGGUACUACAGGAACCUGAUUUUGCUCAGUCUCUCCUGAGGGAUCCAAAUACUCCUAUUAUAAGAAAAUCAAGGGGAACUUCCACUCAAGGAACAUCCACACAUGCUUCUUCAACCCAGCUUGCUAUGGUGGAUGAUCAGAGAAGCAAAGCAGGGAGUGUCCACAGCAAAGUAAGCAGCUACCACGGCAGUCUCCACAGAUCCCGUGAUGGCAGGUAUACGCCCUGCAGUUACAGAGGAAUGGAAGAGAGGCUCCCUCAUGGCAGCACAUCACGACUGACCGAUCACUCCAGACACAGUAGUUCUCAUCGGCUCAAUGAACAGUCACGGCAUAGCAGCAUCAGAGAUCUCAGUAGUAAUCCUAUGACUCACAUCACACAUGGUACCAGCAUGAAUCGGGUUAUUGAAGAAGAUGGAACCAGUGCUUAAAUUGUCCUAAGAUGGAGAACUUGUGCUGUUUAAAAAGCAGAUUUUAUUCUUUGCCUUUGCAUGACUGAUUGCUGUAACUCAACCGUUACCAUGCUUUCAGUCAGGUGCAGAUUGUGUCCAUUGGGAAAGUAAAUUUUUGCUUUUUAUAUUGCAUCAACCUUAGAACAUAAAGGCAUCAAAAAUGCUAAUAAUUAUGUCAUCACAUAAAUAAUUCUUAUUUCUAGGUUAUGAAGAGAUUAUUUGUCUGUGAGAUGUGAUCUUGCCAAAGCCACCAGGCCCCUCCUAACAGUGAGUUGAUUGUCUGCAUUUGCAUUGCCCAGGAGCCACUAGACUACAGCUUUCUGCCCCCACAUUCUUAUUUUCAGAUUCUGGAUCAUUCUUUCCUUACAGUUGAAAUAUAUAUAACAUAAGUCCAAAGUGGUGAUUAAUUUGAGGUAUUUGGAAACCAUUGUAACUAAAUGAAGCAUGAUUAGUCUUGCUGUGAAGUAUCUUUUAGUCUUACCAAUAUCAAUUCAAAAAUGUUUGACAUUCUGUUGUGUAAUGUUUAAAUAAUUUACAAUAAAACCAUGAACUUUAUUAGGCAUGAAAUUGAUCAGAAGGGAAAGAAAAAUUCUGGAAAAUGGUGGAUGUGUUUUAUAGUAAAGUGUAUUUAAACAAGUGGUCCUCAGCCCUAACUAGACAAGAAUCACUUGGGGAACCUCUGAUGCCCAACACCUUCCUCUCUUUCAGAGGAGAAUUUGUAGGUGUUUUUUUUUUUUUUAAGUUUUCUAUGUUUUAUUCUAAUCUGCAGCCAGACUUCGGGUUGUUUUGAACUAAAUUGCCCCCUGAUAGCAUAUGGCAUCAUAUGAUAUCACAUGAAUAUCUAGGCGGACUCAAUAUUGUGCUUUUAUAUAUCAUUACCUGAUAUGCAAUUGUUCUCCACUUUAUUUUCCAUUAUAAAAUGUGGAAUGUGGGGCCCCACUCCUAAAGUUUCUUAUUCAGUAAGUCAAAGGUGGUAGGACUUUAAAACCUGAGUUCUAAAAAUAUCACACGUAAUUCUUAAUACAGGUAAUGCAAGAAUCAUACUUUGAAAAAUGUUCUAGACUCUAGAGAGGCCUGGCUUUGCCAUAUGCCAGUUUUUUACCUUUAACAAGUAAACUGCUCUGAGCCUCAGUUCCCUUGUUUAUAAAUGAAGAUAGAGGAGAAGUACCUACCUCACAAAGUUGUCGAAUAGGGAUCAAAUGAAAAAUCAUACAAAACUCUUUGAAAACUGUAAAGCAUUAUGAAAUAUAAAGGAUUAAGAUUAAGGAUUUAAGAGAUUUGAGGGCUACUAUUGUACAUUCCUUGACAUGUGUUUAUGUGUACUUUUUUCUCUCUCCUUUAAAACAAAAAUACCAAGAAAUUAGGUGUUGAAAAAAAGGCUUCAUCAUGCAAAAAAAGUCAGUUUUCUGAUAAUAAUUUGUAUAUCAUAUUUCUUUCAAAGUACAUAUAUCUUAUUGUUUAUUAUUGACUCUUUAUAGGACAUAUUUGAACAUUUAGCCCCAAAGUGUUUUUCUUUUUCCUCUGUCUUUAUUGUCUUCCUCCUUGGAGCUGGAGUUCAUACUCAAGAUACGCAGAAUUUGAAAUUCCCUCAUAACUGACAAUUAGUAAACCAUUUCUCUGAAGGCCAGACUUAGAACAACUCGUUUAUACAAUAAAUCAAUAAUUCAUAAGGCUUUUUUCUGAGAAUCUCUCCUGAGAACAGCAUGAGAAGACCAAAACAAACAUUCAGAAACAAAAAUAAGAAGUUAAAAUAGAAGGUACCAGUUUGAGCUCAAAGAUGUUGUCAUCCAUCGCCAUCUGCAUUAUAUUAUCAAUUGCCAAAAUGUUAAUUGAUUUUCUUGUGCAAGUAGGCCAAGUGUAGACAGUUAAAUGCACAUCCCUAUGAAAAUCUUAAUUUUUGUGCUUCCUGAUUUUUAUAUAUUCAUUUCUCUUGUUUGUUAAACUCUCUGUUGGCAUAUAUGUAAAUGCUAUAUUGAUCUUUCAUUUACUUUCAGUAUCUUAAUUUUGCUCCAUGAAAUUUACUUAAUAUCAUUAGUCCAUUGUUUUAAAUAACAGUAUUUAGUUUGGGUCAGGUUAUUUAUCAAACUGGUGCUUUAAAUUAAGAAAUAUUUUUAAGAAACUGUUAAAGAACUAUAGCAAACCAGCAAUUUCAAAGUCUCAGUUCCCUUAAACCAACUUGAACAAGUCGAGACAGCUUUCUUACCAUAUGUUUAACUUUAAUUUGUGUUUUGAUUGGCAUGUGAUAAUGUUUAGUAUUUUAUUUGUUCAGCUGACAACUGCGAAAAUAAUAGUUUCUCCAAGAUGUUAAUAUAUAAUCAAGAGCUUUCAAAAAGUACUUUGAUUUGAGCAAUACUGUGUUUAAUUUAUUCAAUAAUUAAAGCAAAAGAUCAUACUAAGCUCAAAACAAUAAUUGGUUUGAAAGAACAAUUGAUUAAUAACAACUAGCACAGGGCUAAGUACAGAGUAGGUUUUUCAAUAAAUAUUUACGAAUGAACAACUCAUGUUAUGCAACUCACAUUUACCCUUAGUAGUGAGAAUCUCACCUCAAAGGAAUUUAAAGUAUCUAAAUUUAAACUGAAUGAAAUGAAGUCUCUGCUUUACCAGAAUAACAUGUGGCAAGUAAUAAAUACAUAACUUACACAAGAAAUAUUUACAUAAGCUUGUACCAAAACUUGAUAUUAAUUUUAAAAGGUGAACACCAAUUCUUAGAAGUAUUUAAGCUCUUGUUGCUUUAUGUGAAAUUAAAUCUUUGUAUACUAGUUGGGUAAACAAAUAUUCAAGUAAACCUUUAUUAGUAGUGAUUUUCUUUUUCUGCUGCUUUUUAGAGCAAAUGUAUGAAAAUUCUAAAAAUCUUUUUAAAUUAGAAAAAUUUCCUACAUUUUAGCCUACCUCAUUAGUUUCUUUGUGAUAAGAGCUGGAUAUAACAAAUUAUACCUAUCUUAGUUGAGGCUAUAUCCCUGUGAUAUAAAAGGAACUACUUAAAAUGUUUUUAGAAAAUGGUGGCCAGAGCUUAGAAAACAGUAACAGACCAAAAUUUCAUUAUGAUGAUAUUUGUACUGCUUUUGACAUGCCAAAGGUAUAUUCCUGUAUUAUCACUUGGAUGAUUUUCAUCAUCUAGUGCAGUGAAAAUCCCUUUAGGCUUGGAAUUCAGAGACCCAUAAUUAUGAUGUGAACAGGACAGGUCAUUUAGUCUCAAUUUCUUCAGUGUAAAAUGAGGAUAAGUUAAUUGUUGAGCCCCAAACCUACCUCACUGGACUUUGGUUGUAAGGAACAAAUGAGAUAACAUGUAUUAUCAUGCUCUCUAACCUGUAAAUUGCUCUGAUAUUAUUUGUUUUUGUUAGAAUUUGGGGGUUGUAGAAAACAAGGAUAUGGUCUUCAGUAGUAGUUAGCAACAACAACAAAAUAGGCAAUUAGACCAGUACAAUCUUGAUACAAUUUGGUACAAUCUUUAAAUCAACAAUCCAAUUAACUUUUUGAAAAUGAGGUUCUUUUUCAAGAGUAGGUAUGUCCUGAAACUGUGCUAGCUCUUGAGUAUAUAUAUAUAGCCAGUGUGUGCUCUCAAAUUGUAUACAAUUAAAUUUGCAGGUCAAUCUCAACAGCAAGUUUGAGAUCUCCAUUAUAUUAUUCUUUUGAUGGAAUUAUGUAAGUACAUGAGCUUGACUUCACUGAAACUUGUAAGAAAAAUACAAAGAAGAGUAUAGGCCCUUUAACUUUUCUUUGAGGACUUUCAUGUGCCUAUUUCUUUCUGAUUAAGAACAAGUUUUAAAAAGGUAAUAGCUGUAACUUGCUGAUAUUCAUCAUGGCAAAACUUGAAAUUUUAAGUUAUUUAAAAUUAUCUUAAUUGUAUGUUUGUAUAUAUAAUUUUUUUAAACCUACAUAAAGUAAGGAUUUCUCCAUUCUUUUCCGCACAUCAACACACAAAAGAGCAUUUUUAUGGAACCUAGAUUUACAAAGGAACUCAUCCUUCUUUUAAUUUCUUUUAUACCUUUUUACAACUGACUAAAAUAAGAAAAAGUGUUUAUAUUCAUUUAUUUCCUAGUAGCCACAUUUAUACAUUAUUCUUGUAUCAUUUCUAUUUUAUAUGAAAAGAAUUAUGUUGACAUCUCUUCAUAAUUUAACUAAUUCUCUUUUUUUGUUCCAGUUGUAUGGGUUUAGGGAAAGGAAUAGGGAGACUAAGCAUCCCGUACCCUUCAUCUGACUGUAAACAGUCUCCUGGGAUUUUUUUCUAACUUAAUUUUAAUCCUAUACUUCUUUAAUAGUCAAACUGAAAUAGGAUUGUAAUUUUCUCCCAGGAUCCAAAAUCUUCUAGGAUAGAAAAUACUAAGGUCUACCUAAAACCAGCCAUUUCUUAGACAUUUCUAUUGGAUUCACAAAGAUGUAAUAUACUAAGUUAAUAAGCAUAUUUCCUAUUCUGUGAUCUCUAAUUAGAAAGUAAAAUUUUGUUGCCAUAAAGAUAAAAGAAAGUAAAGUUUCACUUAUAUUUUAGUCAAAUCCCACAGCAGUACAUUACAUCCUAUAAAAGAAAGUAGUUCCAUCUAUAUAAAUGCAUUAAAGAAUAGUUCCCUUCAGAUUAUUAUUUUUUUAAUAAUUAUUUAUCUCAGGAAAUCUAUUAUGUCCUUUCUUGGACAUUUUCAUUGGUAUGCUAUCAUUGCUGUUAAUUUAUUUUCAUUUUAUUGGCUACUGUUACCAGUUUUUCCUGAUAAAUAAGUUUUUUACCUUGUAAUAAUUCAGAUUUUGAAGAUUCGGUGUUCCAUUAUUUUGAUGAUUACCAUUUACUAGUAAUAUUAGUAUUUAUAAGACAGUGAUAUUUUUAAACUUAUUAUUUUAUAUUUCCUAAAGUAGGGUGAACUACUUUAUUGUUGUUGUAGCCCUGGUGUUUUUGUUAUAUGUCACCUUGUUUAUAUUGCUAACUUGCAAAUAUUUCUUUAAUUGUCUUGUGCUUAUUGACUUAAAAAGCUUUAGAGCUUCAUAAUUUUCUCUUUUCAGAAUUGGCAGAUUUCUUUCCCUAAUGCUUAGUAAAAAUACAUUAUGUUAUUUUUUAAAUACCACAGAAUUUUGAGUCAGGAGACCUGGUUUCUAGUAUUGCCUCUGUUUUCAGUGAGCUUUGUAACUAGAAUUUUACCUCUUGGGACCUCAGGUUUUAUCAUCUGUGAAUAGAUGUGAAGAAACAGGGGACUAGUUUAGGUAGUAUCUCAAAUUCCACCUGCCUGUAAUUUGGGUGUCGCUUGACCAUUUUGUAAUCAUUAUUCUGGCUUACUUUUAUUCUUGUUAUUCUUCCCAUGAACUAUAUUUACUAGUUCAGCCAGUACUGUUAAUGAAAUCUAUGCUUAAAUUGCUAGGAUUCAGUUAUGUUAUUAACUUUGUUUUCCACUUAUAAUUUUGAGUAAUUUUAAGGAGGAAAUUAUAUUACAGAUAAUAAAAAUAAAAGAAAGGUUACAAAUAAUUGACACGACCUUUUUUUUUCUUCCAUAGGAAAAGUCUCCUAAAGCACUAACAUAAGCACCUUAAAACUGAUAUAUAGGAGAAAAAUGACAAAAUUCUGUGGUCUUUGUUCUCUUAAAUAUGAAUAUAGCUAUUUAGCCUUAACUUUAAACAAAAUGUAUUCAUGAUAAAAUUAGUGAGCAAAGCGGUGAUAGCACUGGCCCAUAUAGCUAAUUAAAAAGCUCUUGGCUUUUACCAACAUUAAUAUAAUUAUCAAAUGUAAAAGGAAUUUCGAGAAGUGGAUUGAAAUUUUUCUGUUUAACAAUUAUUCUUAAAAUGUUCUUAGAUUCAUUGAAUAAGUGUAAUUGCCAGAUUGCCAUGAGCAUUGUCCUACUUUAAAAUGUUAGAGAUAAAUGUAGUUUUUUUUUUUCUGGCUAUGCAGAAGAUGUUUUCAUAAAGCCUCCUUAACUGUCUAAUAAAAUAGAGAUUGCAUUAGUUCCAUGUCUCAGCAGAGUUCUCUUACAGAUUUAAUUGUGCUCUCUGAGAACCAGGGAAGAGCCAAGGAAGUUACUUGUUACUUUUAGAGAUCACUGCCUCUCUCUAAUUGUCUGCAUUAGCUCAUAUCAAUCUGUUGAACACAUUGGUCUAUAGAUUUAUAAUCCAGGUAUUGGGUUUGGUGUUGGCUAGGUAGAGAAGAAUAAUGGAAGGUUGAUGUUGGAAGAUGGUGUGAUGUCUUUGGCUAUACUUGAUUCCUUGUCUUUGGUCAGUCCAAUGGUUCAACUUUCCUGGCUUUCAGAAAUUAAAUGAGAUGACUAGCUUCUCUCAUUCAGACACAGCUAUAUUACAGUGUUAUUUUGAUUGCCUGUAAAGAAAAACAACAACAACAGCAACAAACACCAGACCUUUAUUUUCAGUUCUCUGGCUCUGCAUGUUUUGUUAUUACACUUGUUAAACUUGAAUCUGAGGUCCAAACAUUUCAUUGAAGAUUUUCUGGGUUUUGAUAAUAGGAUAUUCUAGAAGAUAAAGCAGAUAAUCUUAGUGUGAUUUAAUUUAUAUUUAUCCAUCCACCAUUUUUCUACCUACUUCUCCCCUCCCCAGUUUUGAAAAGGACGUUUAGAGUUGUCUUCCUUCACUCCCUUAGUUAGCCUCUGCCUCACAUAGUUUUUCCCUAACUACUCUUGUCAGCAGAAACAUUUAAUAGGAAAUGAUUCUAUAUUUCUGGAACAAGAUCAACAAAAAAGUUCUUUGCAUUGAACUGAGGUGAAUAUGUACUUGAAAAUACUGUAUUUUUUAAAUAUGUGAACUUAAAAUUAUUUUUUAAUUAUAAAAAGGGGUCUCUGAUUUGAAAAUAUUAGUCUGGAAGUUCUUUUGUCAUCAGGUGCUAUUUCUACCUUAUCAGAGUAAAUCUGAAUUCUUUAUCAUUCAUCUUUUUAAAAAACUAACUUCUCUAGAAUUACUCCCUUUCACAUAUCUUUAACACCAACUUCAAACAACUUUUCUGCUUCUGUUUUCAAACGCCAAAUUUUAUUUUUGAGUUUUAUUUCUUCAUUGAAGUUUCAAAGUAUUGCAUAUGUGAAGGAGUGACUGCAGUUUAGACAUUUACUUUGGUAUGAUAAAGAUAAUACCACUACCACUGCUUUCUCCGAAACCCAGAAAGAAGAGUUCAUUUGACACUCAAAAGCUAUUAAAUUGUCUUAUUUUUUUUUAUUUGGAAGAGCUAUGGAAGCUGUUUCUUCUAAUUUAAAAUUGUUCAAGAAAAUACUGACUUUACUGUAUUUUAAUCUGAUAGUGAAUUUAGGGGAUUGUUGAUAUAAAUAUAUGUGUCUACAACUAAUAAUAGUUCUGAGUUAUUUUGUUUUCUAUAAUAUUGUGAUACCUGAAGCUUAAAUUUAUUUAAUGUGAACUUUUUUUUUUAAAUUUUUUUGGUAAGCCUUUAUUUUGUCUUGUUUUGUUAGUGUUGUGUAUUAGGUUAUUAUGGUCCUCUCAGCAGAAAAUCCUUUGUUAGAUAGCCUGAUUCUCAGAAAGAACAAUUUAAAGAGAUUUAUACUAUGUCAUCAUAGUUGGAUAGUAUUAUCCUGAACUGUGUGAAAUUGCUGGUUUUGUUCAUCAAGAGUGAUCAAAUGUUUGCAAUUUCAUAAUAUAUAUUCAAGAAACAAUCAAACAAAAGGUGUUUUAGAAUAAAUAUAUUAACUUUCCAUUCUAAUUCCUCUUAUUAACCUAUCAGAGACCUUACGAAGGAGAUUCAAACUAUAGAUAACCAUAGGUCCAUCAAGAAAAUUCUGCUUUGUUUUGUAGUUAAAUUGCCUAGUUUUAAAGAUAUUUAGUCAAAAUGAUUUUAGUAAUUGAAAGCAAAUACCUUUUGGGAAUAUGGAAGUUAUAUAAAAACUUUCAUAACCUGGGAUAUUAUCAUAUAUCAAAGGACUAGUAUGUAAAUAUCAUUAGAGGCAAAAUAAGUCCCCCCCCCCUUCCAUAUCUACUAUGGACUCAAAUUUUGCUAGCUAUAGAAUUUUAUCUUCUUGGUAGGCAUUCUGAAAUGAUACUACUAUGUUAUAGAGUCAACAGAUUUGCCUUAAAAUGCCAUUUAAAGAUUUUCUUUAUACCUAUGUUUCAAAUUAUAAGAAUCAAAGUAUAUGGGUUUAAAAAUGCAUGUAAAAAAUAUGAAUCUCCUACACAGGAAAUCCAGAAUUUUAGAAGAGCUAUUAUCUAAGAGGUUAUAAAUUGGAUUGUUCUAAACUCACACUACAUCUCAUAUAAAUAAUAUUAUGAAUAAUAAGGGCAACACAUUAGCCAACAAGAGCUGAUCUGGUACACUUCAUAUUAAUCUAGUGUCUCAGUUUUGACUAUACUUUUAUGAUGGGGAAAAUUGACUUAGAUCUCUCAGUAAUCACUUGGUAUACUUCUUUCUAGGAGAUACCCUGAGCCCUGCCCAGGUACACACACUCUCCAUCUGGCCUAUUCCUCUAAUGCUACAUUCCUCAAGACCUUCCUACCUGCCUUCUAUCCCCAGUCUUCCUUAUCAAUACUUCCGAAGUAUAAUCUAUAUUCAAGCAUUAGGAAGAAGGAAAUUUGCUUUAAUUUGUAUUCAAGUGUGUUAGUCACUAUAGCCCUUGUAACCUGCUUAAAGAUGAAUCUGCAUUAAAGACAAACACAUUGCUAUUAGCACAAAUUACUAUCAACUGGAAUAUUGAGCUUUAAAACAAAAAUGGAAAUAGUGUUGAUUGGAUUCUUUUGAGGCAAGAGAUACCAUUAAGUGACCUAACUUAAGCAUCUCUUGCUCUUUCUCUGAAUGCAUGUGAUGUCUGAAAGUGCCGUAUAUUUUCAGUGACUUUGAGGAGGGGAGCUAGUCAUUUGUAAUUCUGGGUCAUUGAAGUCAGGGUCUUGCUGAUCCUGUGUUUUUCAGUUCAAGAGCUGUGUCAGGAGCAUCUUAGAUGUCCGUCACCCACACUGUUAAGAUUCUGUGUUCGAGCCUCAGUUUUCUCUACCUCCCAGCUAGUCCUGUCUAUCUUCCAGCUCUGCUCAUUGAUACUAUAGACAAUAGCUUUCCUCAUUUUACUUUUAUUGACAGUGACACCACCUUCUCCUUUUUUCAAGAGAUAAAAAGGUAGAAACGAUAUUCCUUUUUCAUUAUUAAAAAAAAACGAUUAUUUUUAAACAGCUGGCACUUAGCAAUUUAGUUUUCACACCCUAUUCUGAAUUAAAUUGAUAUGGUGAUUCUAAAAUUGAUUCUAAAAUCUUAAUCUUGCUUUUAUCAUGUAAGCAUCUAGUUAGUGUUUAUGCUAAAGACUUGUAUUUUGUGGUAUUAGUUCUUCACAUUUCUUUUUUUAUGUAUUUAAAAUUGUUCAUUUCUGAGUGAGUGGGAAAGUUACUGUUAUUGAGAUAUGUAUAGGGCAGGUGCACUUGAUUAGAGCAUGAACUGUACUUUCACAUUAGCUGGAUGUGCUUUGCACUCUGCUCUUGUAGAUUUAUUUUGUUUACAGUAGACUGAUGUCCAUUUUUGUAAAUGUUUUUACUUAGCACUUUAACUGUGAGUGUACAAACUGAUUUUAAAUGUA